AAAACCAAUGCCCUUCGGGGCUCACUGGUGAUUCAUAAUAACUUCUCGAAUCGCACGGCCUUGCGCCGGCGAUGGUUCAUUCAAAUUUCUGCCCUAUCAACUUUCGAUGUUUGGGUAGUGGCCAAACAUGGUUGCAACGGGUAACGGAGGGUUAGGGCUCGACCCCGGAGAAGGAGCCUGAGAAACGGCUACUACAUCCAAGGAAGGCAGCAGGCGCGCAAAUUACCCAAUCCCGACUCGGGGAGGUAGUGACAAUAAAUACUGAUACAGGGCUCUUUCGGGUCUUGUAAUCGGAAUGAGUACAAUUUAAAUCCCUUAACGAGGAACAAUUGGAGGGCAAGUCUGGUGCCAGCAGCCGCGGUAAUUCCAGCUCCAAUAGCGUAUAUUAAGUUGUUGUGGUUAAAAAGCUCGUAGUUGAACCUUGGGCCUGGCUGGCCGGUCCGCCUCACCGCGUGUACUGGUCCGGCCGGGCCUUUCCCUCUGUGGAACCUCAUGCCCUUCACUGGGUGUGCAGGGGAACCAGGACUUUUAC
rnacentral:rRNA from 1 species